AUACGUAGGUGACAAGCGUUAUCCGGAUUUACUGGGCGUAAAGGGCGUGUAGGCGGUCUUGCAAGUCAGAAGUGAAAUUCCUGAGCUCAACUCGGGCGCUGCUUCUGAAACUGCAGGACUUGAGUGCUGGAGGGGAUAGCGGAAUUCCUAGUGGAGCGGUAAAAUGCGCAGAUAUUAGGAAGAACACCGGUGGCGAAGGCGGCUUUCUGGGCAGUAACUGACGAUGAGGCGCGAAAGCGUGGGGGGCAAACAGGAUUAGUGGCCCUGGUAGUACACGCCGUAAACGAUGAAUACUAGGUGUAGGGGGUAUCGACUCCCUCUGUGCCGCAGUUAACACAAUAAGUAUUCCGCCUGGGGAGUACGGCCGCAAGGUUGAAACUCAAAUGAAUUGGCGGG
rnacentral:rRNA from 1 species